GUGGGGAAUAUUGGACAAUGGGCGAAAGCCUGAUCCAGCCAUGCCGCGUGUGUGAAGAAGGUCUUCGGAUUGUAAAGCACUUUAAGCUGGGAGGAAGGGUAGUAACCUAAUACGUUGCUACUUUGACGUUACCGACAGAAUAAGCACCGGCUAACUUCGCGCCAGCAGCCGCGGUAAUACGAAGGGUGCAAGCGUUAAUCGGAAUUACUGGGCGUAAAGCGCGCGUCGGUGGUUCAGUAAGUUGGAAGUGAAAUCCCCGGGCUCAACCUGGGAACUGCUUGCAAAACUGCUGAGCUAGAGUACGGUAGAGGGUGGUGGAAUUUCCUGUGUAGCGGUGAAAUGCGUAGAUAUAGGAAGGAACACCAGUGGCGAAGGCGACCACCUGGACUGAUACUGACGCUCAUGCACGAAAGCGUGGGGAGCAAACAGGAUUAGAAACCCUGGUAGUCC
rnacentral:rRNA from 1 species